rfam:Trichobilharzia regenti genome assembly, scaffold: TRE_scaffold0047622
GUACUGCUGAAGAGUCCCAAACAAGGACGAAACAGCUAUCCAAUAC